AAAGGAGAAGUCGUAACAAGGUUUCCGUAGGUGAACCUGCGGAAGGAUCAUUGUCGAAGCCUGCCCAGCAGAAAGGGAACUUCAACUAAAGAGUGCCUCCGGUCGCCUCGGAAACGGGCGUGCGUGCCGGGGGCGAAUCUUGUGCAAAACCAUAACGACUCUCGGCAACGGAUAUCUCGGCUCUCGCAUCGAUGAAGAACGUAGCGAAAUGCGAUACUUGGUGUGAAUUGCAGAAUCCCGCGAAUCAUCGAGUCUUUGAACGCAAGUUGCGCCCGAAGCCAUCUGGUCGAGGGCACGUCUGCCUGGGUGUCACGCAUCGUUGCCCCCAACCCCAUCGCCUCUCCAAGAGACGAGGGCGGUCUGCGGGGCGGACAUUGGCCUCCCGUGAGCUCUCGCUCGCGGCUGGCCUAAAAGCGAGUCCUCGGCGACGAGCGCCACGACAAUCGGUGGUUGACAAACCUUCGUGACCCGUCGUGCGCGCAUCGCCGCUCAACGCGUGCUCUGUGACCCUGUAGCGUCGCGCUCGCGACUCUUCCAACGCGACCCCAGGUCAGGCGGGACUACCCGCUGAA
rnacentral:rRNA from 1 species